rnacentral:rRNA from 1 species
UACAGAGGGUGGCGAGCGUUGUCCGGAAUUACUGGGCGUAAAGCGUGCGCAGGCGGUUUUGUAAGCCAGAUGUGAAAUCCCCGGGCUUAACCUGGGAAUGGCAUUUGGGACUGCAAGGCUGGAGUUUGGCAGAGGAGACUGGAAUUCCUGGUGUAGCAGUGAAAUGCGUAGAUAUCAGGAGGAACACCGAUGGCGAAGGCAGGUCUCUGGGCUGAAACUGACGCUCAUGCACGAAAGCGUGGGGAGCAAACAGG